AUCGCUUCUCGGCCUUUUGGCUAAGAUCGAGUGUAGUAUCUGUUCUUACCAGUUUUAAUAUCUAGUAGGGUUGAAAUAGCAAGUUUUCUGCCUUGUCUAUAGAGGUGAGCUCUG
rnacentral:snRNA from 1 species